rnacentral:rRNA from 1 species
UACGUAGGGGGCAAGCGUUGUCCGGAUUUAUUGGGCGUAAAGAGCGUGUAGGCGGCCAGAUAGGUCUGCUGUGAAAACUCGAGGCUUAACCUCGAGCUGUCGGCGGAAACCAUCUGGCUAGAGUCCGGAAGAGGAGAAUGGAAUUCCCGGUGUAGCGGUGAAAUGCGCAGAUAUCGGGAAGAACACCCGUGGCGAAGGCGGUUCUCUGGGACGAUACUGACGCUGAGACGCGAAAGCGUGGGGAGCGAACAGG